AGCAGCCGCGGUAAUUCCAGCUCCAAUAGCGUAUAUUAAAGUUGUUGCAGUUAAAAAGCUCGUAGUUGAAUUUCGGGAUCAAUAUGUUGGUCGUGCCUCGGUACGUACUAGCUUAUUGGUUUCUCCUUUCUGAAGAACCAUGAUGUCAUUUAUUUGGUGUCGUGGGGAAUCAGGACUGUUACUUUGAAAAAAUUAGAGUGUUUAAAGCAGGCUCACGCUUGAAUACAUUAGCAUGGAAUAAUGAAAUAGGACGUUUGAUUCUAUUUUGUUGGUUUCUAGGAUCGACGUAAUGAUUAAUAGGGAUAGUUGGGGGCAUUAGUAUUCAAUUGUCAGAGGUGAAAUUCUUGGAUUUAUUGAAGACUAACUACUGCGAAAGCAUUUGCCAAGGAUGUUUUCAUUAAUCAAGAACGAAAGUUAGGGGAUCGAAGACGAUCAGAUACCGUCGUAGUCUUAACCAUAAACUAUGCCGACUAGGGAUCGGAUGAUGUUGAUUUUUUUAAUGACUCAUUCGGCGCCUUAC
rnacentral:misc_RNA from 2 species